AUUGAACGCUGGCGGCAGGCCUAACACAUGCAAGUCGAACGAGUGGCGGACGGGUGAGUAAUGUCUGGGAAACUGCCUGAUGGAGGGGGAUAACUACUGGAAACGGUAGCUAAUACCGCAUACCAUCAGAUGUGCCCAGAUGGGAUUAGCUAGUAGGUGGGGUAAUGGCUCACCUAGGCAACGAUCCCUAGCUGGUCUGAGAGGAUGACCAGCCACACUGGAACUGAGACACGGUCCAGACUCCUACGGGAGGCAGCAGUGGGGAAUAUUGCACAAUGGGCGCAAGCCUGAUGCAGCCAUGCCGCGUGUAUGAAGAAGGCCUUCGGGUUGUAAAGUACUUUCAGCGAGGAGGCGUUACUCGCAGAAGAAGCACCGGCUAACUCCGUGCCAGCAGCCGCGGUAAUUC
rnacentral:rRNA from 1 species